GCAUUGGUGAUUCAGUGGUAGACUUCUCACCUUCCAUGCAGGAGACCUGGGUUGGAUUCCCAGCCAAUGCA
rnacentral:tRNA from 1 species